rnacentral:rRNA from 1 species
CCUACGGGUGGCAGCAGUGGGGAAUAUUGCACAAUGGGGGGAACCCUGAUGCAGCGACGCCGCGUGAGUGAAGAAGUAUUUCGGUAUGUAAAGCUCUAUCAGCAGGGAAGAAAAUGACGGUACCUGCCUAAGAAGCCCCGGCUAACUACGUGCCAGCAGCCGCGGCAAUACGUAGGGGGCAAGCGUUAUCCGGCUUUACUGGGUGUAAAGGGAGCGCAGACGGCUGUGCAAGUCUGGAGUGAAAGGCGGGGGCCCAACCCCCGGACUGCUCUGGAAACUGUAAAGCUGGAGUGCAGGAGAGGUAAGCGGAAUUCCUAGUGUAGCGGUGAAAUGCGUAGAUAUUAGGAGGAACACCAGUGGCGAAGGCGGCUUACUGGACUGCAACUGACGUUGAGGCUCGAAAGCGUGGGGAGCAAACAGGAUUAGAUACCCGGGUAGUC